GUUUCUUAGAUGAGGUAGGAAAUGAGUGGGAUGUUACUGGAAAAGAAAAAGAGUCCAAGAAGUUAUUCCAGAGCAAGAACAGGUUCCUGUCUGGCAGCUCUAUUUGAUUGUAUAUUUGUGGCUUGGGAUGGAAACAGGGAGCAAACCAGAAGAGCUGGGAGACGACUGGAAAAUGCAAACAUACAGCUUCAUGACUGCAACUAUUUAAUGAAUGAAAGAGAUAAAGUAGCCGGAAAAUCCCAGGUCUUGGACCAGGAAAUGUGAAAUGAACCAGCAAAGAUGCUUCAGCAGGCCUGAAGAGACUGGGAACACCAGAUGAAAGAGAACAGGUACCUGUAAAGAGCAGUGAUACAGUCAGAGGAAACAAUAAAAAUGAGGUCUUGCUCUGUUGCCCAGACUGGAGUGCAGCAGCAUGAUUAUGAUUUACUGCAGCCUUGAAAUCCCAGGCUCACGGGAUCCUCCCAUCUCAGCCUCUCGGUAACUGGAACUACAGUAGAGAUUAAGAAAUGGCCUCAAAGAAGGACACAGACAAACAUGGUCCUGGUUCUAGAGGAAGCUAAAUGUGUUCACUUUUCCUGUGAGCUUUACACAGGAGUUUCUGCAACAUAAAAGAGAUCACAAGGCCAGUACCGAUGAAGCCCUUGAUCCUGUGCUUGUUACCUGGGAAAGACUGACAGUAAUACCUUAAAAAUCAUUGUCUCUGUGACUUAGGAGAAACAGGACAAAUUAUCCUAGCAUGAAAUAUAGCCCAAGAAUAUUGUGGGAAUAACGCAGAUUGAUUUUUUUUCUCUUUUCUGAAUUCACAUCUGUAUCCCUCUUUCAGAUAUUUAUUGACUGCUCAGUUCAGUCCCUUUUCAUAUAGAGAAUGAGGGUAUAUUUCAUUUGUUCAAAACUACAAAAAUAAUCAUACCUCUUAUCUUUCAAAUAAAAAUCAACUUUGCUCUCAACAUGUUUGAUGUCUGGAACAUAUCAAUUAAUAUCUUCACUUCAGAGAUUCAUUACAUAAAAUGUUGGAAUCUAUGCUAUAGCAUUACCAUAAAGAGUUGGAUUAAAUAGGAAAAUGAACAGAUACACCAAAAGGAAAGUGGGCAAGACAUAAACGUCAGAGGUGUUUGAACUGGAGCAACUGCAUCUUCAACAGGAGCCGGGUAAAAUAAGGCUGAGACCUUCUGGGCUGCAUUCCCAGACUUAGAAUUCCUAAAACAUUCUAAGUCACAGGGUGAGAGAGG
rnacentral:lncRNA from 1 species